AUUAUUUACAAUUAUUAUAUAAUAAUAUAAAUUCUUGUAUUAUUUAAUAAGGAUAGAAUACAAAGACAUAUGUUACAUAUAUGUGUGAUAUAUGGUAGGUAGCACAUUAUAAAAAAUAAAUAAACACAUAUAUAUAUAUAUAUAUAUAUAUAUAUAUAUUUAUAUAUAUAGAUGUACAUUGGUUAAGCUUGAUUUGAAAUAAGUAAAAACUCUAUUAUGUAACUUAGCUUGUUAUGUAUUUUAAUUUCCUAUUAAAAUUAAGUAUAUAAGAUGAAAAAUAUAAAUGAAGAAGAUAAACACCAACAAAACAUUGAUAAAGAUAGUAAAAUAAUUGAAGUACCCGAAGAAGUAAAAAACUCUAAUAAGGAUAAACAGAAAAAGAAAGACGGUAACAAGCGAAAUGAACAAAAAAAUAAGUACUCUUCAGAUACUAGUGUUUCAAAUUUAUCAAAGGGUAUUGAGAAUGAUAUAAUAAAUAAAAAAGGAAGAAGCAACUGAAUCAACCUUUUUAAAAAAAGAUACAAACAAAAAUGAAUUUAACAAUGACAAAAUUAUGGCAGUACAAUAUAAUAAACAUACAUGUAUUCGUCUAUUGCCGAUAAUUUUUAUAUUUAUCUUAAUACUGGGAAUAUAUUUUAUAUAUAUAAUGUAUCACUGUUUACCAUUAACAUUUGUAAGUCAAAAGAAAGUAUAUGUAUUACAUAAUUUUAAGAGGGGAAUUAUAGAUCUUGUAAUUUUUCACGUUAGCUUAUUUAUGUACUUAAUUAAUUAUAUUUUAUCUAUUGUUGUAUUACCCGGAUACAUACCAAAUACAGAUGAAUGGGCGCUGAAAAAUUUUCCUGAGAAUUAUGUUAGUGAAACAGAAAAUUCCUUAUUGGAAAAAAAAAAACAGGAGAAAGAAGAUAUUGUAAAUGGUGUUCUAAAUAUAAACCGGAUAGAACUCAUCAUUGUCGUGUAUGUAAAACUUGUGUUUUAA
rnacentral:lncRNA from 1 species